rnacentral:rRNA from 1 species
CCCUGCCAUUUGUACACACCGCCCGUCGCUCCUACCGAUUGAAUGAUCCGGUGAAGUGUUCGGAUUGCGUCGACGAUGGCGGUUCGCCGCCGUCGACGUCGUGAGAAGUUCAUUGAACCUUAUCAUUUAGAGGAAGGAGAAGUCGUAACA